rnacentral:lncRNA from 1 species
AAGUUUGAUGAGGCCGACUGCCGGGCGGAGUCUGAUGGGCCAACAGAGUCUGGCGAUGCGGCGCAGUCGGGCUGGCGGGUAGGGAGACCCGGGAGGCGCAGAUCUUUGCCGGAGUCUUUGGAACACCCGGGGUGGCAGCUGCGAACGGGCGCGGGGGUGUGUUUGGCCUGGGGAGGCGGGGGACUUGAGUUUGCAGCUUGGAAUGGGGUCCCUUGGGGCACCGCGUCCUGGGUGCGCUGGCGCCCCCUCCCAGUUGGAGUCCGGUGGUGAAGCGGUGUGGGUUCAGCAGUCCAGCCCCGGGGCCGGCAUUGCCGCGCGCUGCCCGCCACCGCCGCGCCGCGCCGCGCGCUGCUACCCAGCUGCAGGCGGCCGCGCCUCCGCCCUCCCGCGCCGCCGCCUCCGCGGCGGCCGCCGCUCCCCCCGCGCGGGCUGCACGCUCAGAUUCCUCCCGCGGCGGCUGCCAGCCCGGCUCCCCGGCUAGGCUCCUUCCUUUCCCUUCUUUUCUUCUCGCCCUCUCACAGCCACCUCUUUGCAUCCACUCCCUCCUGCAAUUUGCAAAGCUCCCCUGUCUCUCGCGCUUCAAGGUGCCAAGAGGUAAGUCGUGGGCAGCGGAUCUCGGGGCAACGAAUCUCGAGCCUGCGAAUCGCAGCCGCUGCCGCCGCCAGCCGGCCGCGAGAAGGAGCCCCCCGCGCGCCGUGUGCAGUUUCCGAAGCCUAGAGGCGGCCCCAGACUAGGGGCAAUCUCGCCAGGUCGCGUCCUCUUGCUCUCCCCACCCCUAGGACAAGGAACCCCCUCUUUGUAGGAAGAGAUUGAAGCCGAGACACCAGAGAGCCCCCGGCUGAUCUGACUGUCGCUAUUUUUCGUUGUAACUUCAGGAGAGGAGGAAAGAAAAUUCUUGAGCCUCUGUGCUGACUUCUCAGCACUCUUCACCCUCCCACCUCUACCCCCACCUCUGUCUGAGCGACUCCCAAGGGAAAAAGAUUUUGCAGGGUUUGGGUGUUUUUUGUUUUAAGUGACACAAAAAAAAUGAGGAGGGGGGGUGGAGGGAGAUCUAGUCAAAAUAGUUUUUAGGAACUCAAGUGCAUAGCUGGACAUUUCUUUUUUCUUAUAUAUUCAAUCUUGUCAUUCCUAGAGAACAAGAAUGAGGUGUUUGUUUGUUUGUUUUUGUUUUAAGGACUGAAAAACUGUCAGCUUUGUGAUUAAAAUAAGUUGCAAAACCCUUGCUGGGGAAAAGCA